rnacentral:rRNA from 1 species
CACGUAGGGGGCAAGCGUUGCCCGGAUUUAUUGGGCGUAAAGAGCUCGUAGGUGGUUCGGUAAGUCGGGUGUUAAACCCCCAGGCUCAACCUGGGGACGCCACUCGAUACUGCUGUGACUAGAGUCCGGUAGGGGAGCGUGGAAUUCCUGGUGUAGCGGUGAAAUGCGCAGAUAUCAGGAGGAACACCGGUGGCGAAGGCGGGUCUCUGGGCCGAUACUGACGCUGAGGAGCGAAAGCGUGGGGAGCAAACAGG